UACGGAGGGUGCGAGCGUUAUCCGGAAUUACUGGGUUUAAAGGGUGCGUAGGCGGAACUUUAAGUCAGUGGUGAAAGCUCUCGGCUCAACCGAGAAAUUGCCAUUGAAACUGAUUUUCUUGAAUACAGUUGAGGUAGAUGGAAUAUAACAUGUAGCGGUGAAAUGCUUAGAUAUGUUAUAGAACACCGAUUGCGAAGGCAGUCUGCUAAGCUGUUAUUGACGCUGAGGCACGAAAGCGUGGGGAGCAAACAGG
rnacentral:rRNA from 1 species